AAAAAAGGAGUUUUAUGCAUUUACAGAAUCAUAAAAGAGCUAUAAAAGGAUGAAACACACAACAAUACGAAUGCUGUAAUUUUGUUGUUGCUUCACAUCAUUUCAGCAGAGCACUGAACACAUCUGGAGGGAGCAGGACAUCCACUUUUUGAGGACUGGCCCCCAGAAAAGGAAAGGGGCGGGGUCAGAGCUGGUGUUGGAUUUCGCAGCCAGAGAACGUGACUGUAAUGGUUGCCUUCGCGAAAGCUGUGCCAAACUUGCCUGCUCUCUGAAAGCGGCUCGCCGUCUCUUAACGUACAUUACGGUUUGCCGGUGGGGGCUAAGUCACCCGGAGCUCGUGAGAGCCACCGUUUGCAGAUUUAAGAGUCGGCAGAAAACUUUGAAAAGAGUACCACCGCGGAGAAAUACAGCUGCGCGGCUGAACUUCCACCAGCAGCCCGAGGGUACCGGGAGGAGGAGUCAACAGGUCCCAGAAGAAGGCCUCAGCCAAGCAAUCGAUGCAGGCAGUCCACCAGCCGGAAGCCCAGUUGGCCGAACAGCACACCACUCAAUCAGUCUGAACAGCAACACAAAGGGGCUGCUGGCGAGCAACAGAGAAAGAGGCAAAGAGGAGGCCCGUCCACGGAGAAGAGCUUUGGCUUGGCAUCAUGUAAUCUGUGCAUUUCCUAGGAGCGCUCUGCUGUACAAGAAGCAUUAAGACCACUAGCACCUCUAUCACCACUCAUCAAAGUCACCUGUUCUUGACUCAACUUGCCUUCUGUCUUCUCCACCCCCACCCCC